rnacentral:rRNA from 1 species
GACGAACGCUGGCGGCGUGCCUAAUACAUGCAAGUAGAACGCUGAAGGAGGAGCUUGCUUCUCUGGAUGAGUUGCGAACGGGUGAGUAACGCGUAGGUAACCUGCCUGGUAACGGGGGAUAACUAUUGGAAACGAUAGCUAAUACCGCAUAAGAGUAGAUGUCGCAUGACAUUUGCUUAAAAGGUGCAAUUGCAUCACUACCAGAUGGACCUGCGUUGUAUUAGCUAGUUGGUGAGGUAACGGCUCACCAAGGCAACGAUACAUAGCCGACCUGAGAGGGUGAUCGGCCACACUGGGACUGAGACACGGCCCAGACUCCUACGGGAGGCAGCAGUAGGGAAUCUUCGGCAAUGGACGGAAGUCUGACCGAGCAACGCCGCGUGAGUGAAGAAGGUUUUCGGAUCGUAAAGCUCUGUUGUAAGAGAAGAACGAGUGUGAGAGUGGAAAGUUCACACUGUGACGGUAUCUUACCAGAAAGGGACGGCUAACUACGUG